rnacentral:rRNA from 1 species
GACAGAGGUGCCGAGCGUUAGGCGGAAUCACUGGGCUUAAAGCGUGUGUAGGCGGACCGUUAAGUGUCUUGUGAAAUCCCCCGGCUCAACCGGGGAAUUGCUGGGCAUACUGGCGGUCUUGAGCAGUCUAGGGGCAGAUGGAACAAGUGGUGGAGCGGUGAAAUGCGUAGAUAUCACUUGGAACGCCAAAGGUGAAGACAGUCUGCUGGGGACUUGCUGACGCUGAGACGCGAAAGCGUGGGGAGCAAACAGG